rnacentral:rRNA from 1 species
GACGAACGCUGGCGGCGUGCCUAAUACAUGCAAGUCGAACGCAGUGGGGACGGGUGAGUAACACGUGGGUAACCUCCCAUCAGAGGGGAUAACACUUGGAAACAGGUGCUAAACCGAUACUGAUGGAUGGACCCGCGGUGCAUUAGCUAGUUGGUGGUGAAACGGCUAACCAAGGCCACGAGGCAUAGCCGACCUUAGAGGCGGACCGGCCACACUGGGACGUAGACACGGCCCAGACUCCUACGGGAGGCAGCAGUAGGGAAGAUGCGGCAAUGGACGAAAGUCUGACCGAGCAACGCCGCGUGAGUGAAGAAGUUUUUCGGAUCGUAAAACUCUGUUGUUAGAGAAGCGGUAUCUAACCAGAAAGCCACGGCUAACUACGUGCCAGCAGCCGCGGUAAUUC